UUAGCUGGGCAUGGUGGUGCGUGCCUGUAAUCCCAGCUACUCAGGAGGCUGAGGCAGGAGAAUUGCCUGAACCCAGGAGGCGGAGGAUGUAGUGAGCCGACACUAUGCCAUCGUACUGCAGCCUGGGCAGCAAGAAUGAAACUCUGUCUCAAAAAAAAA